rnacentral:tRNA from 1 species
GCACCACUAGCUCAACAUGGUAGAGCAGCGGACUCUUAAUCCGUUGGUUCGGGGUUCGAGUCCCCGGUGGUGCA